AGCGAACGCUGGCGGCAGGCCUAACACAUGCAAGUCGAACGAAGUCUUCGGACUUAGUGGCGGACGGGUGAGUAACACGUGGGAACGUGCCUUUAGGUUCGGAAUAACUCAGGGAAACUUGUGCUAAUACCGAAUGUGCCCUUCGGGGGAAAGAUUUAUCGCCUUUAGAGCGGCCCGCGUCUGAUUAGCUAGUUGGUGAGGUAAAGGCUCGCCAAGGCUACGAUCAGUAGCUGGUCUGGGAGGAUGACCAGCCACAUUGGGACUGAGACACGGCCCAAACUCCUACGGGAGGCAGCAGUGGGGAAUCAUGCGCAAUGGGCGAAAGCUUGACGCAGCCAUGCCGCGUGGAUGAUGAAGGUCUUAGGAUUGUAAAAUCCUUUCACCGGUGAAGAUAAUGACUGUAGCCGGAGAAGAAGCCCCGGCUAACUUCGUGCCAGCCGCCGCCGUAACAC
rnacentral:rRNA from 1 species